rnacentral:misc_RNA from 1 species
CUUCAAUGUGUUAGGGAUGCUGAAUCGAAAAUUGCUGGGAGCGAGUUCUUAGAGUCAAAUUCUGCUGCGGUGAGUUCAAGAUUUGUGGAGGAUAGUGUUAAGUUGAUUUAUGGAAAGGAUUCAGAUGUUAUAAAGGAAAGGAGAUUUGCUGGACUUCAGGCACUGUCUGGGACUGGAGCAUGCCGUCUGUUUGCUGAAUUUCAGAGGCAUUUCCACCCCGAUGUUCCAAUUUUCUUGCCUGAACCAACUUGGUCUAACCAUCACAACAUCUGGAGAGAUGCUCAAGUGCCAGUGAGAACCUACCGCUACUAUCAUCCAGAAUCGAAGGG